GCCGGGAUGGCGAAAUUGGCAGACGCACAGGACUUAAAAUCCUGAGGGAAUUAACAUUCCCGUGCCGGUUCAAGUCCGGCUCCCGGCA
rnacentral:tRNA from 3 species